UGGCUCAGUUGGUAGAGCAUGGUGUUUGCGACGCCAGCAUGGUGUGUGCAACGCCAGGGUUGUGGGUUCGAUUCCCAC
rnacentral:tRNA from 1 species